GCAGCCGCCGCGGUAAUACGUAGGUGGCAAGCGUUGUCCGGAAUUAUUGGGCGUAAAGCGCGCGCAGGUGGUUUAAUAAGUCUGAUGUGAAAGCCCACGGCUCAGCCGUGGAGGGUCAUUGGAAACUGUUAAACUUGAGUGCAGGAGAGGAAAGUGGAAUUCCUAGUGUAGCGGUGAAAUGCGUCGAGAUGUGGAGGAACACCAGUGGCGAAGGCGACUCUCUGGUCUGUAACUGACGCUGAGGAGCGAAAGCGUGGGGAGCGAACAGGAUUAGAUACCCCUGUAGUCCCUGUCUCUUAUAC
rnacentral:rRNA from 1 species